GAUGAACGCUGGCGGCGUGCCUAAUACAUGCAAGUCGAGCGAACAGAUGAGGAGCUUGCUCCUCUGACGUUAGCGGCGGACGGGUGAGUAACACGUGGAUAACCUACCUAUAAGACUGGGAUAACUUCGGGAAACCGGAGCUAAUACCGGAUAAUAUAUUGAACCGCAUGGUUCAAUAGUGAAAGACGGUUUUGCUGUCACUUAUAGAUGGAUCCGCGCCGCAUUAGCUAGUUGGUAAGGUAACGGCUUACCAAGGCAACGAUGCGUAGCCGACCUGAGAGGGUGAUCGGCCACACUGGAACUGGGACACGGUCCAGACUCCUACGGGAGGCAGCAGUAGGGAAUCUUCCGCAAUGGGCGAAAGCCUGACGGAGCAACGCCGCGUGAGUGAUGAAGGUCUUCGGAUCGUAAAACUCUGUUAUUAGGGAAAAACAAAUGUGUAAGUAACUAUGCACGUCUUGACGGUACCUAAUCAGAAAGCCACGGCUAACUACGUG
rnacentral:rRNA from 1 species